CAGAGGGGGCAAGCGUUGUUCGGAAUUACUGGGCGUAAAGGGCGCGUAGGUGGCCUGCUAAGUCGAACGUGAAAUCCCUGGGCUCAACCCAGGAACUGCGUCCGAUACUGGUUGGCUUGAAUCCGGGAGAGGGAUGUGGAAUUCCAGGUGUAGCGGUGAAAUGCGUAGAUAUCUGGAGGAACACCGGUGGCGAAGGCGACAUCCUGGACCGGUAUUGACGCUGAGGCGCGAGAGCCAGGGGAGCAAACGGGAUUAGAUACCCCGGUAGUCCUGGCCCUAAACGAUGAAUGCUUGGUGUGGCGGGUAUCGAUCCCUGCCGUGCCGAAGCUAACGCAUUAAGCAUUCCGCCUGGGGAGUACGGUCGCAAGGCUG
rnacentral:rRNA from 1 species